UCUUCAGUAAAAUAAAUAGCGUUAGUUUUAUAUUAUAUUUUUUAUAUAUUUUUUUUUCUGUGGUUUCUAGUGAUGGACCGGUAUAUCGACCAGCCUGAUUGUCAAUAUUUGUGUAUUCAUCAGCAUCAGCUGAAAACAUUUUUCCAGUCAACACAACCAGACUCAAUUUCCAGCAUCAUUAUUCCAGUCACAUGAUCCUUCAGUAAUAAUUCUAAAUAUGCCGAUUUGCUGAUCAAGCUACAUUUAUUAUUAUUAUUAUUAUCAAUGUUGAAAACAGUUCAGUGCUGUUUCAUAUUUUUGCGAAAACCAUGAUACGUUGACUAGAAAGUUCAAAAGAACGGUAUUUAUUUAUUAGAAAUCUAAAUCUUUUGUGACAUUAUAAAUGUCUGUCACAGUUAACCAAUUGAAUGCGUUCUUGCUGAAUGAAAGGAUUCAUUUCUGAAUAUUAUUAUCUACACUUUUGAUUGUGGUUUGAAGCUUCUUCAAUCGUUAUUUCAUAAUCAGAGGUGUUGCUCGAUUUAUUUGUUUAUUUGUACAAUGGCCUCCUUCUGAACCCCCCUCCCCCCACUCCCACCUGUCAUAAUUGGCGACCCGCCGCCGGCUGUGCGCCUCGCACACUCCAGGUAUCCGGUGACUCAAAGGGUCGGUGAGUGCCCCUGUCAGCACACCGCGGUGAGGAACAACAGAUUAACCCUAAUCCAAUCCACUCAAUCCUUCUCCUGCGUUCCUCUCGCUGUUCCCUCAACCUGGAGGAGGAGCCGUGGCUUUCAGGUCAGCGUUGGAAUCUCUGGCCUGAAUGGAAGCCCACCGGGGAAAAAAAGCCCUCGCUUCAGUGCGGUGAGCGCGGCUGGUUGGCUUCUGAAUGGCUCUCUGUGACAAAGGGUCUCUUUCACAGGAUAAAUGAAGAGGAUGCCACUGCAGAUGUCUGAGACGUCUCUGUUAGCGUCUGACUGACGCGAGACUGCACGCUCGGCUCUCCGGCACCUGUGUGAGAGUGUGUUGAGUCCUCUGACCUGAAGAUGGAGUGAGGCCAUGUUUCUCAUCAGGCUCUUGUGUGUUUGUGUAUGCUGAUCACACUCCUGGUGUCUGGCCCCCCGUGCCCCAGUCAGAGGCCUGAGAACUGUCUGGAUGUGUUUUCCCAGACAGCCACCCUCCCUACAGGGGCUGAGAGAACCGUGACCCCCUGUGUGAGCACAGGCUUCCAGACAGCAGGGGUCAGAGGUCAACACCAGCUGUCACUUCACCCCACUGCUGCAUUAUAGUCCUGAUUAAGGGAUGGAGGAAUGCAGACGUACAUUCCUCGGGACGUCUCAUCAGAGAGAGACAAUACUGCAAGUCGACAAAUAAGCAUGUUAAAACUUCAUGAAGAAACAUGUAACGUUUUCAUGAUUAACAGAAAUGUGCUUUCAUUAUGAAUUGAAAUGUCUUUUUUAUAAAGUAUGUUUCAAAUGUAGACAUAAAAUUAAAAUCUGAUUUGUUCAUUUUCUGAUAUGAAAGAGCUUUGAAAGCAUGUUUGCUCUGUGAAGAGACGGAUGACCUUGAGCUGAAGUUCAAGUCCAAAGUCAUUCAGUUGUCUGACAAAUUACAAUUACACAAAUGUGUGUUGUUGGUUUUAAACAUCUUGUACAUAUAUUGAAAUACUUUUUGUGAAUUCUAUCAAAACUAAAAUUCAUGUCAGCAUAUUUUCCCUAUGUAAAGAAGAAUUUUAAACAUGCGGGGCAAAAGUAUUUUCCAUAAAUGUGAAGUUGGGGCAAGUUGUCACAUUAAAGCAUGUUUAAGAGUUGUUUAUUCAGUUUAUCAGUUACAAUAUUUCU